GAAGAAUACAAGAAGAACAGUCAAGCAAGUGAAAAUCGAUACAAAGAGCAGCUGGAACGAAAUAGAGAUGAACUCAAGCAGUGCAAGGCAAAUUUUCACUAUCAACUCCAAGCAUGUGAAUAUCAAUACAAACAGCAGCUGAAAAAAUAAGUGAAUAUCAAUAUACAGAGGAUCUGAAACUAUACAAAGAGGAGCUGAAACGAAAA